rnacentral:lncRNA from 1 species
GUUGGCUUCAAUAUGCCGCUGCGGUGGUCGGAUUUCAGAGGGCGGCGGCGGUAGGGGCGGCGACCUCCUGCCGUUGUUCAAUCGGUGUGAGACGCCGAUUCCUGAAACGACGCUUGAUUCCGCCGGGGAAGAAGAACGAGGGAGGUGGCGCGGAGAGGCGGCGCUUCAAACGACGGCGGCUCACCUUGAUUCCGCCGGGGAAGAAGAACGAGGGAGGUGGCGCGGGCUGGCUGUGAGUGUGGGUGUGCGACAGAGGGAAAGAGAGAGAGAGAG